CGGAGCGUGGCGCAGCGGUAGCGCGCCUGCUUUGGGAGCAGGAAGUCGCGGGUUCGAUCCCCGCCGCUCCGACCA
rnacentral:tRNA from 1 species